AACCUGAUAACUCACACAAACAAAAACAACUUGCCUAAAGUUUAAUAUUUCGAGCAGAACAGUAAAGAAGAUGAUAUCUAUUGAUGCUAAAAUUUGACCUGUGUUACCCUGAUGUCAAAAGUCAUAGCAUCUCAUGUGGGCAAAAUCUUCGCAACACGAGAUGCUUGCAAAAUUGGAGCAGCAUCUUAUCACCUGUAAUUUAAUUGAGACAAUAACUUUCCCCAACCAUUUCAAUGCAUUAUUGGCAACUAAAUUCAGAGGGUGCUAAUUAAAUACCCUUUUAACAAUAUCUUCUUAUUCUUCUUCAAUCUAACAAUUAUUUGGAAAAUCUAAAUGACAAUCAUGCAUCGAUGGCAUGAAAAUUUGGCUACAAAGUAGCCUGGAAAAGGCUGCUCUCUGAAUGAGAGCAUGAAUUCAAACAAAUAUGAUGAAUGAAUAAAUAAAGGCAUAAUACCACAAGAAGUAAAACUUUUCCCCAGAUUUCUGUUUCUGUUUGUGCUAAAACCAAUGGAAACCGAUGGAAAUGAAUUUCUACGAAUUAGACAUAUCAGCCAAAACAGGUACUCCGUACAAGCAAAGUAAAAGAGGGUUACAAAAAAUUUUAAUAUUGAUAUGAUAAUUAAAAUUAUAAUGAAAAUUUCAGUUACCAUAUAAUUAAUAGAUAACUCUGUACACAAUGAUUUAUUGCAUAUUAAGAUUGUAUACCUGAAUUUUAAUUGCUAUACAAAAUAUGGUAGUAUCAUUAGGAGACCGCACCAAAUGUACCGAAUUGAAUGUGCCUUUUCACAGCCAUUGUACAAGCUUUGAAGCUUUACCACAAAUGCUUUCUCAAACCCGUGAUCAUGAUGCACCCGAGAGAUGCAAGAUAUGAAAUUGUUACUACAGCAGGCAAUAACCACAGUGUUAAAACAAAUGUUUAUACAGGAUAAAUGAUUCCAAGAAUGAAACAAGAUAGCAAUGAUGAUCUCAGCACCUUAACAUCACGCAAUAAUAAUCAUCAUGUCUUUCAAGCAGCUAUCCAUCCUCAAUUGAAACAGAGCAGAUCCGGCCAUCACUUCCUUCUUCAAAGUCCAGCAACCAAACGUUGCACAAUAACCACAGUGAUAAUCCUUGGUUACCCCAAUGUUCUCCAUAGAGUCUCCAAAGUCAAUCUAAAAAUGAAAUGCAGGUGGAAAUCAAAAUUCUAUUAACUAAAUAAAAUAUAAAGUGCAAUGCUUGUGCUUGAGCUUGCUUUAACAUCAUCAUAAUAGCGAAUUUUGAUACACCUUUACUUCUCUGUGGUUCAAUCAUUUACUUCCCUGUUCUUGUUUAUUCACAACAAGAUAUCAAUAGAAGAUGAUGGAAAUGAAAUUCUAUAAAAUAAAGCAAGUGAAUUACCAGUAGACCAUUUUAGCAAUCCUUUGGCUAAACUUUUCAUUUUCUUAGCACACUGUCCUGCAGUACUGCCUGCAUCAUUAAAACCAAAUUAGAUUGGACCUGUGAAUUGCUAGUGUGGUUCUGACAUUUCCUCGAAUCCCUGGUGAACAUAAUUAAACUCGUAUGAAAUAAAACAAAGUGGGCUAAUGUACUACUAAAAACAAUUACACAAUUACUUUAAAGAAUUAAUGUCACAUAAAUUAUAUAUAAAAAAAUACGAUUAUCAUUAUACAAGAUAAAAUUGAUAAUUUAGUUUUCGACAUUACUGCAAAUGUAUGAAGGAGAUUUUGUCACUCAGGAAGUUACACAUAACAAAUUUCCGUACAUUAAAAAAUAAAUUACAUUGGGAUUUUCUAUGAUGUUGUAUGAAAUUUUACAAAAAAGCACAUAUUUUUUAAAAGUAAAUAAAUAUAGAAAUUUCAACAGACUAAACUUGUAUUUUUUUUUUAUUUAAUCUUUAGAAAACAAGUUUAACAUAUUUGAUAACUAGGAAGUUUUACAUAUUUAUACCAUGAUUGAUUCUAUAUAGAAUUAUUAAAUAAUAAAGUAAUGCCAUAAUCUAAUUGGUCUUGUUAUUGACAUGUACUCACGCAUUCUAUAUUUCUAACUUUGUACAUUUUAUUGAUAUGUACAAAUUGUCAAUGUUUGCAGUGUCGUUGUUUGAAGUAACAACAAAGUAAAAUAGAGGUGAGAAAUUACCGGUGGGUGAUAGUAAUUGCAACCAUUCGAGAAUUUACCACUCGGACUCGAUGUAGGGAAUGUGAGAUAUCUUAUGCCAGUCUUCUCCUUCCCCCUCUCUAUAACGGUUUUCCAGAAGAGGACAUCUGUGAAUAAUCAAUUCCUGCAGCGUCGUCGUCCGAAGAAGGUAAUCCGGCAGCACCUUUAAUUUGGGGCAAUACCCAAUUUCCAAGGAAGAAAGACGUGGUAUGUCUGUUGUCUUGCGAUCUUCUAGAAUGGGCAGUUCUUCUAGAAGAUCACAAAAAUAAAUACGCAGUUCCUGCAGUGCCGUCGAUUGAAGAAGGUAAUCCGGCAGCGCCUUCAAUUUGGGGCAACCUCUAAUCCACAAGGAAGAAAGACGGGGCAUGAUGGAGAUGUUUUCCUUCCUCGUAAUCCUGUAAUUCCACUCUUCCAACUCUUCCAUUCCCCCAAUGUCGAGUGAUUUUAAUUUGGGAAAGGCAGUAACUGAUGAUGACGAUGAAGAUGAAGAUGGGUCAUCCUCACUGCUUUCUUCUAUUCCCAAAAACUCAUUACCCACUCUUUUUACACUUUUCAAAAUGUAUAGUUGGAGUUUUUCCAGAGGUAAUUUUCCCAAAGGAGGCAAAUGCUCACAGUUAAAACAAAACCAAAGAUUUAAUUCCCUUAGAUAGGUUAGUGAAGUCAACCAUUUGGGAAAAAUGUCGCCUCCGUAGAAACAAAUCUGUAAUUCCUCUACAUUCAAAUGCGGUUGUAAAGCUUCAAGAAGUUGUUUAUCUUUCUCAUUCUUCCUCCUCCCUUCUUCGCCUUCCCCAUCUACGACUCCAUCAAACACAAGAUGCAAACGAAGGAGGUUUUCCAUAUUGUGAAGUCCUAUUCUCUCAGCCUCAUCUAAAUGUGAUACAUUACUCAGCCCUUCUAUUCCACAUUUACGAAGGAGUUGAAGAUUUUUCAGAGAUUCAAGCCUACACGUGCUGCCGCCAUCAACACCUCCACCCACAACAAACUUUUCUAAUGUUCGAAGACUGGUUAAUUUGGAAAUCCCUAUUGGCAUGUACUUCAAUGAAUAAGUUUGACCAUUCAGUAAACUCCUCAUGUUCAUUAACUUCCCAAUCCCCGCUGGCAAUUCUCUAAGAUUUGGGCACCGCCUAAUAUCUAGCUUUCGUAAAUUAUAUAAUUCACACAAAGUCUCAGGCAGUCUCUCUAUACAUAAUUCAGAUAAAUUAAGAUAUUUUAAAUGUAUCAAUUUUCCAAUAUUUUCUGGAAUUUCUCUAAUGAAAUUUGGGCUAGGAUGAGAAAAUGAGGACAACUGUCUUAUAACUAAUGCCCUUAAACACGCCAAUUUACUAAAUAACCCCGGAAGGAUGCUACUACGAAGAGACGGACCUUUAUCAUAAAUUAAGAGGGUCCGCAAUCUAUUAAGUCCAUAAAUGGACAUAGGAAGUGGAGCGCCUCCUUCAAAAUUUAAUCCUAGGUGACAGACUUUGUCACCAAAAGAAUUUAUGACUGACUCUUUGUUACCAUCAAUUUCUAGCCACAAACAUUCUUUUCUACUUACAAAUUGGGCAAAAUCAUGUACUAUGUCAUGCAUUUUACACCUCAUAAACUCAUUAUCGCCACCGUAUGUUUCAAACUCUUGAAAGAAAGAGUGUGUUGCUAAGAUGUUGAAAUACUCUUCUCCAACCAUCUCCAUUUCUUCGUCUUCUUCUGCAUUAAGGUAACCUUGAGCCAUCCACAUAUCAAUCAAUUCCUUUUUAUGCAUAUAGUGGUCUUUUGGAAAGACAGCACAAUAUGAGAAACAUUGUUUUACCAUAGAAUUAGAGGGCAAAUCGUUAUAACUCAACAACAAAGGAGCCAAAAGACCUUUCCUAAUCUCUUCUACCUUCCACAUUUCACUCUCUAAAAUUCUUUGCCACUCUUUUACUGUACAUUUAGAGCGCAAGAGAUUCCCUAUUACCUUUACAGCAAGAGGCAGGCCUUUGCACUUGCGUGCAAUUUUUCGUCCGAUUGGUUCUAAUUUUUCACAAUCCUCGAAAGAGCGACCGAAAAAUGCCAACCGCUUGAACAACAACCAGCAUUCCUCUUCAGCUAGUUGUUCAAUGGAGAUAAUAUCUAACUCUAUUGUUCGCAUCAUACGUGCAACUGACUCAUUACGUGUGGUAACCACAAUUUUACUUCCAGGAAGACCAUUCUUUAGACAAAAGAAGAAUUGAUCCCAUAUAUUAUAAUUCCCAUCCCAUACAUCAUCUAAGACAAUAAAAAUUUUUUUUCCUUCAAUUGAUCUAUGGAUAUGGCUCAUAAGAGAUUGGAAUUCGCUUAAACCAGAAGCUUCUUUUGACUCGCCUAGUCCUUCAAUAAUUGCUUUGGCGACCCUCAUCUCAUCAAAAGUGUCUGAUACACACACCCAUAUAACUUUUUCAAAAUUUAUUUUCACCCCAUCAUUAUUAUAGGCUAGUUGUGCAAGAGUGGUUUUACCUAUACCCCCUAACCCAACCAGUGAGAUGAUAUGAGGAUGUUGUUCGCCACUCUCACCCAACAACUUACCUAACAGCUCAUUUUUCUCGUCAUCUCUACCAAAAAUCUCUCCCUCAUCAAUCAAGGAGGUGGUUGGCACUCGCUCUGAUUUCUUAACAUUGUUACUCACAUUCUCAACAAAUUUAAACAUAUCUUUUCGAGUGGCAAUACCAUCUAGCUUUUCACUGAUUUCGCUAAUCUUGACAGCAACAUCAUCACGAAGAAUGAGUUGUUUGAAACCACCUAAGUAGUUUGAGGCAGCACGAAAGAAGGAACAUACCUUCUUCUUAGGAGGAGCAAGAGCAAGAGCAUCGUCAUCAUCGCCGCCCUCAUCAAGCUGCAAUUUCCGUGUUUCAGUGAUCCACUCUUCCAACACAUCUUCCAUGUCGUAGGAUGCGUCUCUGAGCUGAUCCAGCCAAAGAGUAACAGCUUUGUCCUGCUUCAUUUGCCUCUGCUCUGCAUCUUACAGUACAGCUUGAAUGACUUGAAGAUUGGUAGUAAGCUUUCCCACUUCUUGUUCGACACCCGUCACAAGCCUCCACUUUUCUUUCACCUGAUCUUGAGCAAUGGAUUUCAGCUGGUCCAGGAGAGAGGAAACGAUCGCAUGAGCCAUUCAGAGGAAAGUAGGUUUUAUGUAUUCUGUGAGAAUGUUCAUUCAAGCAUGUUUGCAUUCUUCUUAUACCAUAUGAGAUAUUUAAUUUUUACCCUCGAGUCAAUGUCAAUAAUUGUACAGCGUCUGCCCUGUUUCUCUGAUUCAUAAUAAUUCAUUGUUAAUUCUGCAGAGUACACAGCGUCAGCACUUGUGAAAUUUCUUACAUUUGUAAAAUCAUGCAGCCGACCCUUGUGAACUAACUAAUUAACUAAAUUUUCUUACAUUGUCAAUAAGUUAUGAUUAUUGUGAAUUUUCCAUCCCCUAUAUAAAUUCUUAGAUUUAUUUAAAUUGUGAGUCAUAGAAGUAUAUUACCUAAAUUAUUUUAUCAGGCCAUGUUCCGAUACUAGGAGUAAGUACGGAAUUGGACUAAUUUUGUGAUUAUCUAUUUAUCUCAUAUUUGAUAAGCUUAAUUGAAUUGGAUUUAGGAACCAAAUUUAAAUUUAAUCCUAAAAUUAUGGAAUUGAUAAUCCUAAUUUACGCAUAACUUUAGUUGGGAUAAAAUUAAAGAAAAAAAGUUAUCCAUUUAUGAGACUUUAAUUUAUAUCAUUAUCGUUUAUUUAUGCUUAAUAUUUAUUUAUUUUUUUUAAUUUAUGAUUUACUUAAAAUUUAUUUUUAUUUAUUAUCUAUCAUCUGAUUAAAUUAGAACUUUACUUCUACUAACUCUUGAUAUUAAUUUUUCAUUACUUGCAUAUUUGAUAAUUUGUCAAUAAAAUUAACCAUUUAAUAAUUUAUUGCAUAAUAGAUUGUAUUAAACUUACUAAUCACUAAAAAAAUAUUUAAAAUCAUCAUGAAAAUUAAUAAUACCGUCAAUUAAUUGAUUUUAUAUACUUUUUUAAAUAUUUGAUAAAAAAUAAUUAAGUAUUUAAAUUUUUAUUUCAUUUUUUUAUUUGUUUAUUUUAUUAUGGAUACCCAAUAACUUGCAAUAUAAUUAAUUUUCUUAUUCAGACUACUCAGCAUCAGCUCCUAUAAAAUUUCUUACAUUAUAAGCAACAAAAUAUUUAUAAACUACAACAAAGGGCUUAAAUCAAUCCACCGAUUAACCUUUUGAAGUUAUAUAUAAUAUAUUAACUGUUGAUCUAGAAUAGUCUUAGUGGAUAGAUUUUUUUUAAUUAUAAAUAUCAAUAAAUUUUUUUUAUCGUUUAAUAGAUAUUGAUGAAAUUAUAUGGAGUAAUUUCGCCCAAUCAUAUAUAUUAUAACAAAAGUUGGAAAAGAGAAAAAUAAAACAAAAGUUGGAAAAAUCAUGCAGUCGUUGGGAAUUUCGAAAUUUGAGAAUUUUGCCCGUAGCUACAGGCUGCAGCGAUUUUUGACUUUCAUGAUGCAAACAAACCAAUCAUCAUUAAUUUCAAUAGAAAGAAGUAUUCUAGGUGGAAUUGAUUUCUGGAGCAGAAUAUGAUGUAUUUGGGACUUCCUACUCUAUUAGAUAGGUUAAUAACAUGUUAAUUGUCACAUCAUUAAUUUUAGAUUAUAAAUUUUAUAUUCAAACUUUGUAUGACUGCUCCUUUUUCAUUUGAAAAAAAAAAAAAAAAUUAACUUCUAGCAUGAUCUAAUUAAUUGAUCUUGUUUCAAAAGAAUCAAAAAAAUAAAUAAAAUAAAAUAAAGUAAUGCCAUAAUCUAAUUGGUCUUGUUAUUGACAUGUACUAAUGCAUUCUAUAUUUCUAACUUUGUACAUUUUAUUGAUAUGUUUCUCUUGAGAGAUAAGAAUCAUUAUGUGGCAAAAUUUUAUUAAAGCUGGGAUUAUUUAUGUUCUAAUACUUUGAACAUUAAUUUUUAAUCUACUCUUUAGAAUACAAAAAUAAUCCUUACCUAAACAUCUUUCAUAAAUGUUUUUUGCUGGGGCUGCUAAAAUUCAUAAUCUAAUAUUAGUUGAUGUGGCAUGUGUCCUAUCACAUAAAUGUAGAUAAUAAUAAUUAAUUCAUUAACAAAAUGAAAAAUGUUAGUUUACAAAAUACAAAUCCGAAUUUUUUGUGUGUUAGAGGGAAUUUAAAAGGGAGAGACUAAACAAAUGUGGUGACAAAUUACACGUAUUACCAAAAUUGAAAAUACAAAGUUUAGGCAACUGGAAACAUCUCUGUCAAUGGCAAUGAACCCAUUACCUCCAUUUAUAAUUAACCAAAAAUCAAAUAAAUUAAAAAAGAAAACACAAAGCAAGGAUAACUACUAGUUGUUUUGAUCAUCCCUGCUUCUUUUUCUUAGCAUAGCUCUUGUAAUGAAAAUUAACAAAAAGGGCCAAAAGGGAAGCAUUAAACACAGUAUUGAAGCACCAACCCCAAAACACAGGGAAACCAAAUCCCGUGAAAUGAUAAUUCAGCAUCAAAAUGAAAAAUGUUAUGGAUGGCUGUGAUGGGUCUGAGGAUGUGGGGUCCAAUGAGAGGUGAUGAUGAUGGUGAUGUUGAUGUUGAUGUGUGGUAGAGGAUGGAUGUGAGGGAGAGGUAAGUAAUGAUGGAGUGAAUGAGGAUGCGUGGGAAGGAAGCUAGGGUUUGGUUUUGAGUCCAUGUGAAGUUGAGGACUUGUGGGUGGCUUACAAGCAAUAUUGGAGUGUUAAGCUGAUUGAAUUUGAACAGUGCUACUCCAAUAACAUCAAUAUGGUUGAUGACCGCUCUAUCAAAUCCUUUGGAUAAAUGAAUUGACCGCUCUAAAAUAAAUGAAUGAGAUAGGAUAAAUUCGAAUAAAUUAAUCUGCAUAAUGACACAAGAAACAAAUAUAAAUUGACCGCAAGUAGAAAUAUACUUUUGUUAUAUUUAGAGCAUCUUCCAAUUUCUUUCCCUUGAGCUCUGUUUCUGCGAGUGCUCAAAAGCAAGACACAGGCCUCAAGAUAUAAUUAUCAUCAUCAAUCUUUUGCAGCCACAUGCAGUACUUGGAAAAUGUUUAUGGCCCUAAAUAACUGGAAAAUCAGAAAACAUUAAGAACAAGAGACUAAUCAUUUUAAUCGCAACAAAACAUGCACACUAUGAAAAUAUAAAAUUGAAUUACUUCGAAUGGAUGUGCCUCUUAACAGGAAUUGCACAAGCUAAUGAGCAAGUGAGCCUUCGAAUGAAAAUCUAAAUCCUUGCAGCCUGCGUCAUGCAGCUUCUCCCAAUGAGUAAGUGAACCUUGAACAGUUAUCACUCAGCUCAAACUAAAAUGAAAUUACUGUGGACAUGUGAAUUAAAAAUAGAUGUAAAAGUAGUUUUCUCAAAGCAAAGUCAAGAUAAGAGAUUAACUCUACUCCUUAUUUACAUUAAAAAUAACGAACAAUGGAAAACAGAGCUAGAGAAGAACUUACCUGUGCGUUGAGAUCAUGUGGGGAAUGUGAGAUAUCUUCUUAGAUUUGGUUUGGGAAACUCCAUCUUCUUCUGAAAGUUCUGACAGUUCCCUAAACCCAGGCCAAUACAAUUGCAACAGAAACUGCAUGCUUUAACCAGUAUCUGAUCAUCUCCUGUUAUUUCAAGACAAUAAUAACUUAAUUGCAACACUGCAUGCUUCAACCAAUAACCUUUUCGACUUCAACACUUCUUUUGUCCCCCACCCGAUGCCCUUUUCACAAUUCUAUGAAUCAGAUAAAUCAGCCUUCUUCACAAAACUAAAAUUUCGGUCCCCAUGUAGCAGAGUUUCUUAUUUUUCCUUUGUACACAAAUGCAGACACUUAAGCAAAUUAAGAUUUCUUACCUAAAGCAAAUUAGGAUUUCUUUUGAUCCUGCAAGUUACAAUUUCAGUCCCCAUGUAAUAGUAAAAAUUUGUACACAUAUUUAUAUAGCAAAUUAAUAUUUCAUACCUCACAAUAUUUAUCAUAACCAUCAAUCUUUAGAAACCACAUGCAGACUUGUUAAACUGUUUAUGGCCCAAAAUAACAGGAAAAUUAGAACAGAUUUUUAAGAAUGAGCGACUAAAUAUUUCAAUGGCAACUAAAAUUACACAUCUUGGAAAUCUGAAACUCAAGUACUCAGAACACUGUAAGUGCAUUGCAUAAUCUUGGGUAAAAAAUACACAGCAAUUAAACAAGCUGGGAACUUUAGUGCAAAUGCUUUUUCAUAAUCUUCAAUUGCAUAAGUCAGUUAGAAUCAAUCUUUCUUAAUCUUUCAAUUCACAUAUGAGAGCCUGAUAACACAAGGAAACACUGUAAGUGAAUUGUCAACUGUGACAAAUUUUGGGUAAAAAUUAUCAACUGUAGUUAUCUGCAUAACAUUUAGUGUCAACCCCAAAUUCCUUCCUGAUCCGUGGAAGCAUUUCAGCCCACAGACGGUUAGCUUUGUCAAUAUACGGCAACUCAGGAUUCUAUAUUUAAACUAUGAUGUUUGAUGACUUGCUGAUACAAAAGACAUUGCCCCAAGCACUUUUUUACAUUAGCUAAAAUCAAGCCAGUCACUUCCAUUUGUUGCAGUUUUAAUGCAGAAAGAAAAAAGGGGGAAAAAAAUCUGCAAGAUGCCACUUGUAAUACCGCAUGUUCGCAGGAGCAGAGUUAAAUAAUUACAAAAUUACAUUCUUUAUUGGCCACAAAGCUGCCUAGAAAAAGGCUUUAAAUUCUUAAUGAGACAACGUAUUCGAACAAAUAUGGUGAAUGAAGAGACAAAGGCAUAACACCUCGGGAAGUAAAGCUCUGUUUCUGUAUGUGCUCAAACCAAUGGAAACCCAUGGAAAUGAAUUUCUACGAAUUAGACAUGUCAGCCAAAACAGGUACUCUGUACAAGCAAAGUAAAAGAGAGUUACAAAAAAUUUUAAGAUAAUUAAACUUUUAGUCACCAUAUAAUUAAUAGAAAACUUUGUACACAAUGAUUUAUAUGAGAUUAAGAUUGUAUACCUAAGUUUUAAUUGCAAACUAAAUAUACACAACAUGAUAUUAGCAUUAGAAGACUGCACCAAAACGCACCGAAUUGAAUGUACCUCUUAACGGCCAUUGUACAUGCAUUGAAAGUUUACCGCAAAAGCUGUUUCAAACGUGAUGCAUCUUAGAGAUGCAAGAUGAGAAAUUGUUAUUACAACUAGCAUUGAAACAUGUGUGAAAACUGUUAAUGGACCUAAAUAACUUGAAAAUCAGAAAAGAUUAGGAAUGAGUGACUAAGCCUGCUAAUCGCAACUAAACGUGCAAACCUUGAAAAUCCAAAAUUGUACUCGAUGAAUGUGCAAUUGCUCAAGCAGGUAAAUUUCCUGCAAAGGCUCUUACAAACCCUCAAAGAUGAUACUCUACAUACCAUGGUAACCUGAGUAACAAAAAGAAACACAGUGAAUAUUAAAGGGCAUUCUGACAAUGCAAAUUUGUGUAAAUUAACAACUGCGGUUACCUGCAUAAUAGUGUCAAUACCGAAUUCCUUCCUCCAUGGAAGCAUGUGAUCAGCCCACAUGUGCUUUGCUCUGUAGCUUUUGAAUACCUGAAAUUGUUAUCACAACCAACGGUGAAAAAUGGGUGAAAAAAGGGUAAUAGUAGCAUAAUUGAAUUUGCUUAUAGAGGAUAAACCGAUCAAAGAAAAAAACAAGACAGAAAUGAUGAUCUUAGUACCUUAAUAUCAUGCAAUAAUAAUCAUCAUGCCUUCUAGGCAGCUAUCCAUCCUCAAUUGAAACAGAGCAGACCUGGCCAUCACUUUCUUCUUCAAAGUCCAGCAACUGAACGUUGCACACAACACCACAGUGGAAGUUCCAUCACCAGCCUAAUCCUUGAUUACCCCAAUGUUCUCCAUAGGGUCUUCAAAGUCAACCUAAAAAUAAAAUGAAAAUGCAAUGCAUUAUUAUUAGGGAUCUAGUGCUUGAGCUUGCUUUGACAUCAUGGUAUUAGCAAAUUCUGAUAUAGCCAAAAUGGUGAAUAAGAUGACGUACUUGAUAAGAAAAACCUGAUUUAACAAAUAAUUAAGGAGCCGGUAACAAUCACAGAAUCUCAUCAUGUGGGGAACGCCUUGGCAACAGAAGAUGGUGCUUUCAUUCAAGCAAUAGCAACUUUCCAAUUUCAUAAGGUAGUUUAAUGGCCCUUUUAAGAACAUCUGCACCAGCCUAAUAAUUAUUCAUGGAAAUUAAUAAUCAGAAUCAUGUUAGAUUGAGAGAUGAAACAUAAUAAGCGAUUUGGCCACCAUAUAUGCAUUUAUCACCUUCAAUUUGCUCAUCUUUGUCUAGAGUAUUGCUUCUGCAUUAACUUAAUUAGCUUGCAAGCCACCUGAACAUGGUUUUAAAUAAAGUGUAAGAGCUCGAAUUCGAACGAAUUAAUCAAAUAUGCUGACAGGAGAAACAAAAGUAAAUAACCACAAGAAGUAGAAAUAUACUUUUGUUAUAUUCAGAGCAUCUUCUUGCGUCAAGUUCUUUUCCUUUAGCUCUGUUUCUGUUUGUGCUCAAACGCAAUGGCUCAAGGGCCAAGAUAAUUUUAUGACCAUCAAUCUUUUUGCAGCCACAGCAGACUUGAAAAAAUGAUUGUGGCCCUAAGGAACUUGAAAAUUAGAAAAGAUUCAGAAUGAGUGACUAAAUAUUAUAAUUGAAACUAACUAAACAUUAUAAUCGAAACUAAUUAAACGCCUAGAAAAUCUGAAACUGAGCAAUUGCUUCUGGUGGAAACUUUACUGCAAGGACUUUCUCAAACCCUUGAAGAUCACACUCUACCUGAUAACAAAGAAACAGUCAAUAUACGAAGAUGAUUUUACUAACAAGUGAGUGCUUACACAUAUUGGAAGGAUAAUGAUGAUUCAUAACCCAAAUCCCCAAUACUCCCUAUUAUCUCACUCAAGUUCGAGCUCCCAGAAUUCACUACUGUGAAGCUCUCACAACAAAAUUCCCUUCAAAGAUUCUCUACUCAAAUUUGAUGAUGAUGUCCCUCCAAAGGAGGCAAAAAAUCUAACACUGAUCAAAUUGGUUUGUGAACAAUUAAUCUUCCUGGCCAUCAUGCAUACCAGGUGUGGUGAGCAAUCUUCAUUAUGACAUUUGCCUUAAUAAGCAGCUUAGUUUCCUUAACCUGAUAACUUACACAAACAAAAACAACUUGAUUAAAGUUUAAUAUUUAGAGGCAGAACAGUAAAGAAGAUGAUAUAUAUUGAUACUAAAAUUUGACCUGUGUUAUCCUGACGUCAAGAAUCACAGCAUCUCAUGUGGGCAGAAUCUUCGCAGUACAAUAUGCUUGCAAAAUUGAAGCAGCAUCUUAUCACCUGUAAUUUAAUUAAGACAAUAACUUUCCCCAACCAUUUCAAUGCAUUAUUGCCAACUAAAUUCAGAGGGUGCUAAUUAAAUAGCCUUUGAACAAUAUAUUCUUAUUCUUCUCCAAUCUAACAAUUAUUUCGAAAAUCUAAAUGACAAUCACGCAUCGAUGGCAUCAAAAUUUGGCUACAAAGCAGCCUGGAAAAGGCUUUACUCUCUGAAUGAGAGCAUGAAUUCGAAACAAAUAUGAUGAAUGAAGAAAAUAAGGCAUAAUACCACCAAAAGUAAAACUUUCUCCCAGGGCUCUAUGUUUCUGUUUGUGCUAAAACCAAUAGAAACCGAUGGAAAUGAAUUUCUAGGAAUUAGACAUAUCAGCGAAAACAGGUAUUCUGUACAAGCAAAGUAAAAUAGGGUUACCAAAAUUUUUAAGAUUGAUAUGAUACUUGAAAAAUAGGUUUGCACAGAAUUAAUUAUUCUGUCAUUGAGAUUGUUCUUUUAUAGAGAUUUCCAGCGCACAUAAAACUAUUAAAUCAGUAAACUAAAUCACUGAUUUAAGGAAAGAAUAAUUUCUAGGUAGAUUUUCCUAAAAUACAUAGAUUUGCACCUAAAUAGCUAUGUUACAGCUAAUGACUAAUUUACAGCACAUAUUUUUUCUAAUUUUCUAACACUCCCCCUCGAGCUGGUUUGAAGAUAUCCUCCAUAGCCAGCUUGCCAACUAGAAAAUUGAACUGUUUUGUGUGUAGUCCUUUGGUAAAGACAUCAGCCACUUGUUCUCCAGUAGGAAUGUGCUCCAUAUGAACCAAUCCAUUAUCUAUCUUCUCCUUGAUGAAAUGCUUGUCAAUCUCCACAUGUUUUGUGCGGUCAUGAAGGACUGGAUUGUGUGCUAUUGAGAUUGCUGCCUUGUUGUCACAGUACAACUACAUAGGAGAUGAUUUUGUCGCUUUUAACUCUUCCAACAGCCUCCUAAUCCACAUGAUCUCACAAAUGCCAUGGGUUACAGCUCUAAAUUCAGCCUCAGCACUGCUCCUAGCUACCACAUUCUGUUUCUUGCUUCUCCAAGUAACCAAAUUACCACCUACAAAUGAACAGUAUCCAGAAGUGGAUCUUCGGUCUACUUUGCAGGUAAAUUUACUGCAAAGGCUCUUACAAGCCCUCAAAGAUGAUAUUCUACAUACCAUGGUAACCUGACUAACAAAAAGAAACACAGUGAAUAUUAAAGGGCAUUCUGACAAUGCAAAUUUGUGCAAAUUAACAACUGCGGUUACCUGCAUAAUAGUGUCAAUACCGAGUUCCUUCCUCCAUGGAAGCAUAUGAUCAGCCCACAUGUGCUUUGCUCUGUAGCUUUUGAGUACCUGAAAUUGUUAUUACAACCAGCGGUGAAAAUUGGGUGAAAAAAUGGUAAUAUUAGCAUAAUUGAAUUUGCUUAUAGAGGAUAAACCGAUCAAAGAAAACGACAAGAUAGAAAUGAUUAUCUUAGUACCUUAAUAUCAUGCAAUAAAAAUCAUCAUGCCUUCCAGGCAGCUAUCCAUCCUCAAUUGAAACAGAGCAGACCUGGCCAUCACUUUCUUCUUCAAAGUCCAGCAACUGAACGUUGCACACAACACCACAGUGGAAGUAGUUCCAUCACCAGCCUAAUCCUUGAUUACCCCAAUGUUCUCCAUAGGGUCUUCAAAGUCAACCUAAAAAUAAAAUGAAAAUGCAAUGCAUUAUUAUUAGGGAUCUAGUGCUUGAGCUUGCUUUGACAUCAUGGUAUUAGCAAAUUCUGAUAUAGCCAAAAUGGUGAAUAAGAUGAUGUACUUGAUAAGAAAAACCUGAUUUAACAAAUAAUUAAGAAGCCGGUAACAAUCACAUAAUCUCAUCAUGUGGGGAAUGCCUUGGCAACAGAAGAUGGUGCUUUCAUUCAAGCAAUAGCAACUUUCCAAUUUCAUAAGGUAGUUUAAUGGCCCUUUUAAGAACAUCUGUACCAGCCUAACAAUUAUUCAUGGAAAUUAAAAUUCAGAAUCAUAUUAGAUUGAGAGAUGAAAUAUAAUAAGCGAUUUGGCCACCAUAUAUGCAUUUAUCACCUUCAAUUUGCUCAUCUUUGUCUGGAGUAUUGCUUCUGCAUUAACUUAAUUAGCUUGCAAGCCACCUACAAAUGGUUUUAAAUAAUGUGUGAGAGUGUGAAUUCGAACGAAUUAAUCAAAUAUGCUGACAGGAGAAACAAAAGUAAAUAACCACAAGAAGUAGAAAUAUACUUUUGUUAUAUUCAGAGCAUCUUCUUGCGUCAAGUUCUUUUCCUUUAGCUCUGUUUCUGUUUGUGCUCAAACGGAAUGGCUCAAGGGUCAAGAUAAUUUUAUGACCAUCAAUCUUUUUGCAGCCACAUGCAGACUUGAAAAACUGGUCGUGGCACUAAGGAACUUGAAAAUUAGAAAAGAUUCAGAAUGAGUGACUAAAUAUUAUAAUCGAAACUAAUUAAACAUACACGCCUAGAAAAUCUGAAACUGAACUUCUCAAAUGUAUAUGCCUCUUCGCAGCAAUUGCUUGUGGUGGAAACUUUACCGCAAGGACUUUCUCAAACCCUUGAAGAUCACACUCUACCUGAUAACAAAGAAACAUAGUCAAUAUACGAAGAUGAUUUUACUAACAAGUGAGUGCUUACACAUAUUGGAAGGAUAAUGAUUACUCAUAACCCAAAUCCCCAACACUCCCUAAUAUCUCACUCAAGUGAGUACGAGCUCCCAGAAUUCACUACUGUGAAACUCUUACAACAAAAUUCCCUUUAAAGAUUCUCUACUCAAAUUUGAUGAUGAUGUCCCUCGAAAGGAGGCAAAAAAUCUAACACUGAUCAAAUUGGCUUGUGAACAAUUAAUCUUCCUGGCGAUCAUGCAUACCAGGUGUGGUGAGCAAUCUUCAUUCUGACAUUUGCCUUAAUAAGCGGCUUAGUAUCCUUAACCUGAUAACUUACACAAACAAAAACAACUUGAUUAAAGUAUAAUAUUUAGAGGCAGAACAGUAAAGAAGAUGAUAUAUAUUGGUACUAAAAUUUGACCUGUGUUAUCCUGACGUCAAGAAUCACAGCAUCUCAUGUGGGCAGAAUAUUCGCAGUACAAGAUGCUUGCAAAAUUGAAGCAGCAUCUUAUCACCUGUAAUUUAAUUAAGACAAUAACUUUCCCCAACCAUUUCAAUGCAUUAUUGGCAACUAAAUUCAGAGGGUGCUAAUUAAAUAGCCUUUGAACAAUAUAUUCUAAUUCUUCUCCAAUCUAACAAUUAUUUGGAAAAUCUGAAUGACAAUCAUGCAUCGACGACAUCAAAAUUUGGCUACAAAGCAGCCUGGAAAAGGCUUUACUCUCUGAAUGAGAGCAUGAAUUCGAAACAAAUAUCAUGAAUGAAGAAACAAAGGCAUAAUACCACAAAAAGUAAAACUUUUCCCAGGGCUAUCUGUUUCUGUUUGAACUAAAACCAAUGGAAACCGAUGGAAAUGAAUUUCUAGGAAUUAGACAUAUCAGCCAAAACAGGUACUCUGUACAAGCAAAGUAAAAUAGGGUUACAAAAAAUUUUAAGAUUGAUAUGAUAAUUAAAAUUUCAGUCACCAUAUAAUUAAUAGAAAACUUUGGACACAAUGAUUUAUUGCAUAUUAAGAUUGCUAUAUAAAAUAUAAUAUUAGCAUUAGGAGACCGCACCGAAGCAUACCGAAUUGAAUGUGCCUUUUCACAGCCAUUUUACAAGCUUUGAAGCUUCACCACAAAUGCUUUUUCCAACCCGUGAACAUGGUGCACCCGAGAGAUGCAAGCUAUGAAAUUGUUACUACAGCAAGCGUUGGAACAUUUGUUAAAAAAGGAAGUUUAUGAAAAUACGCCUUUGGAUACCAGUCUUCAGGAAUCAAUUCAUCCGUAAUAACAAUUUUCAAGAAUUAUCAACUGCUUUAAGCUCAUCGACAUCACAAAGAUCUCAACUAAAAUAGAGCAGAUCCGGCCAUCACUAUCCCUUCUACUGCUCUUUUCCUUUAGAGAAUGAUUGAAUUACAGAAUGCGUGUAAGGCAUUCUUAUUCAAGGUCCAAUGAUCAAACCUUGCACUAUAACAACAGAGGUAGUAGUUUCUUCGCCAGCCUAAUCCUUGGUCUCAGGAAUGUCCUCAACAGAGUACUCGAAAUCAACCUAAAAAUUAAGAAUGAGUUGGAAAACUGUUUAUGGCCCUAAAGAACUUGAAAAUAAGAAAAGAUUAAGAAUGAGUGACUAAACAUUUAAUCGCAACUAAACAUACAAACCUUGAAAAUCUAACUUUGAAGUACUCUUGAAUGAAUGAGCAGUUGCACGAGCUGGUGACAACUAAGGUUACUGUGAAGUCUCUUACAAAUCCUUAAAGAUGAUACUUUACAUACCACGAUAACCUGAUAACACAUAGGAACACAAUAAACAUUAAAGUGUAUUCUGACAAUGCAAAUUUGUGGAAAUCAUCAGCUGUGGUUACCUGGACAAUAUUGCCAACACCAAACUCCUUCCUCAAUUGAAACAUAUGAUCAGCCCACAAAUGCUUUGCUUUGUAGCUUUUGAGAGCCUGAAAUUGUUAUCACAACCAACAAUGAAAAUUGGGUGAAAAAAUUGAUAAUAUUAGCUUAAUUCCAUAUGUUUAUAUAGGAUAAACCGAUCAAAGAAUGAAAAAAGAUAGAAACAGAGCAGACCCAGCCAUCACUUUCUUCUUCAAAGUCGCACCAUAACCACAGUGGUAGUCGUUCCACUGCCAGCCUAAUCCUUGGUCACCCCAAUGUUCUCCAUGAAGUAUUCAAAGUCAACCUAAAAAUAAAUAAAAAUGCAAUGCAGGUGGAAAUGAAAAUUCUAUAAAUUAAAUAAAAUAAAAAUGCAAUGCUUGAGCUUGAGCUUGCUUUAGCAUCAUCGUAAUAGUAAAUUUUGAUAUAUCUUUACUUCUCUGUUCUUGUUUAUUCACAACAAGAUAUCAAUAGAAGAAGAUGGAAAUGAAAUUCUAUAAAAUAAAGCAAGUGAAUUACCAACAGAACAUUUUAGCAAUCCUUUGGCUAAACUUUUCAUUUUCUUAGCAUACUCUCCUGCCUGGUGAACAUAAUUAAACAAGUAUGAAAUAAAACAAAGUGGGCUAAUGUAGUAAAAACAAUAACACAAUUACUUUAAAGAAUUAAUGUCACGUAUAUUAUAUAUAAAAAAAUACGAUUAUCAUUAUAUAAGAUAAAAUUGAUAAUUUAGUUUUCAACAUUACUGCAAACGUAUCACAGAGAUUUUGUUACACAUAACAAAUUUUCGUACAUAUGAAAAUAAAUUACAUUGCAUGAAAUUUUACAAAAGAGCACAUAUUUUUUAAAAGUAAAUAAAUAUAGAAAUUUCAACAGACUACACUUGUAUUUUUUUUUAAUUAUUUAAUCUUUAGAAAACAAGUUUAACAGAUUUGAUAACUAGGAAGUUUUACGUAUUUAUACCAUGAUUGAUUCUAUAUAGAAUUUUAAUUCAAAAUAUAAUUAUUUUUAUUAAUUUCAUUGCAAGCAACAACGAAGUAAAUUAGAGGAGGAGGAGAAAUUACCGGCGAGUGAUAAAUUACCGCGACCACUUGAUGUGGGGAAUGCGAGAUAUCUUAUGCCAGUCUUCUCCUUUCCCCUCUCUAUAACGGUUUUCCAGAAGAGGACAUCUGUCAAUAGUCAAUUCCUGCAGCGUCGUCGUCCGAAGAAGGUAAUCCGGCAGCACCUUUAAUUUGGGGCAAUACUCAAUUACCAAGGAAGAAAGACGUGGUAUGUCUGUUGUCCUGUGAUCUUCUAGAAUGGGCAGUUCUUCCAUAUUUGCACAAAAAGAAAUCCUCAGUUUCUGCAGUGCCGUCGUUCGAAGAAGGUAAUCCGGCAGCGCCUUCAAUUUGUUGCAAGAACGAACUUCCAAGGAAGAAAGACGGGGCAUGAUAGAGAUGUUUUCCUUCCUCGUAAUCCUGUAAUUCCACUCUUCCAAUUCUUCCAUGUCCCAAAUUAUGAGUGAUUUCAAUUUGGGGAAGGCAGUAACUGAUGAUGAUGAUGAAGAUGAAGACGGGCCAUCCUCACUGCUUUCUUCUAUUCCCAAAAACUCAUUACCCACUCUUUUUACACUUUUCAAGUACCAUAGUUCGAGUUUUUCCAGAGGCAAUUUUCCCAAAGGAGGCAAAUGCUCACACUUAAGGCACGAGCGAAGAUAUAAAUUCCUUAGAUUGGUCAGUGAAGUCAACCAUUUGGGAAAAAUGUUGCGUCCAUAUAAUAUAAUCCCUAAUUUCUCUACACUCAAAGGCGGUUGUAAGGCUUUAAGAAGUUGUUCAUCUUUCUCUUUCUUCCUCCUCCUUUCUUCAUCUUCCCCAUCUACGACUCUACCAAACUCAAGACGCAAACGAAGGAGGUUUUGCUGAUUGUAAAGUUGUAAUCUCUCGACCUCAUCUAAACGGGACACAUUACCCAGCCCUUCAAUUCCACAUUCUCGAAGGAGUUGAAGAUUUUUCAGAGAUUCAAGCCUACAAGUAUUGCUACCAUCAACACCUCCACCCACCACAAACUUGUCUAAUGUUCGAAGACUGGUUAAUUUGGAAAUCCCUACUGGCAUGUAUUUCAACGAAUAAGUUUCAGCAUUCAGUAAACUCCUCAUGUUCUUUAACUUCCCAAUCCCCGCUGGCAAUUCUUUAAGAUUUCGGCACCGCCUAAUAUCUAGCUUUUGUAAAUUAUAUAAUUCACACAAAGUCUUAGGUAGUCUCUCUAUGCCUAAUUCAGACAAAUUAAGAUAUCUUAAAUGUAUCAAUUUUCCGACAUUUUUUGGAAUUUCUCUAAUCAAACUUGAGUGAAGACGAACAGGCGAGGAUGAUAGCCUUAUAACUAAUGAUUCCCUUAUAACUAAUGCCCUCAAACAUGCCAAUUUACUAAAUAACUUUCGAGUUUCUCUAAUCUUAUAUGUGUUUGGACAAAAACAUAGGCGCAACAGCCUUAUAACUAAUGCCCUUAAACAUUCUUUGCUACUACUAAAAGACGAAAGGAUGCUACUAAGAGACAGAUUGAAAUCACUUCUAUCAUAAAUUAAAAGGGUACGCAAUCUAUCAAGUCCACGAAUGGAUAUAGGAAAUGAAGUGCCUCUUUGAAAAUUUAACCCUAAGUGACGGACUUUGUCACCAAAAGAGUUUAUGACUGAGUCUUUGGUACCAUUAAUUUCUACCCACAAACAUUCUUUUCUACUUACAAAUUGGGCAAAAUCAUGUAUUAUGUCAUGCAUCUUGCAGCUCAUAAUAUCAUCAUCAUCAUCUUUUUUAAACUCUUGAAAGAAAGAGCGUGCUGCUAAAAUGUUGAAAUACUCUUCCCCAAUCAUCUCCAUCUCUUCGUCUUCUUCUGUAUUAAGAUAACCUUGAGCCAUCCAUAGUGAAAUUAGUUCCUCUUUAUUCAUAUUGUAGUUUUUUGGAAAGACAGCACAAUAUGAGAAACAUUGUUUUACCAUAGAAUUGGAGGGCAAAUCGUUAUAACUCAACAACAAAGGAGCUAAAAGACCUUGCCCAAUUGCUUCUACUUUCCACAUUUCACUCUCUAAAAUUCUUUGCCACUCUUUUACUGUACUUUUAGAGCGCAAGAGAUUCCCUAUUACCUUUGCAGCAAGAGGCAGGCCUUUGCACUUAUGUGCAAUUUUGCGCCCGAUUGGUUCUAAUUUUUCACGAUCCUCAAAGGACCUACGUAGAAAUGCCAUCUGCUUAAACAGUAACCAACAUUCCCCUUCUCCCAACUCCUUGACAGGGAUAAUAUCUAUUGAUCCCAACUGUAGUGCAACUGACCUAUCACGUGUGGUAAUUAGAAUUUUACUUUCAUGGUGGCCAUUCUUUAGACAAGAAAAGAAUGGGUCCCAUUUUUUGUAAUCUACAUCCCACACAUCAUCUAAAACAAGAAAAAACUUUUUUCCUUCAAUUGAUGUAUGGAUAUGGCUCAUAAGAGAUUGGAAUUCGCUUAAAUCAUAAGCUUCUUUUGACUUGCCUAGACCUUCAAUGAUUGCUUUGGCAACCCUAAUCCUCUCAAAAGUGUCUGAUACACACACCCAUAUAACUUUUUCAAAAUUUCUUUUCACCUCAUCAUUAUUAUAGGCCAGUUGUGCAAGAGUGGUUUUACCUAUACCCCCUAACCCAACUAGUGAGAUGAUAUGAAGGCCUUCUUGUUGUUCACUACUUUGACACAACAACUUGCUUAAGAGCUCAUCUUUCUCAUUAACUCUACCGCAAACCUCUCCCUCAUCAAUCAAGGAGGUGGUUCGCACUCGCUCUGGUUUCUUGACAUUGUUACUCACAUUCUCAACAAAUUUAAACAUAUCUUUUCGAGUGGCAAUACCAUCUAGCUUUUCAUUGAUUUCCCUAAUCUUGACAGCAAUGUCAUGACGAAGACUGAGUUGUUUGAAACUGCCACAGCAGUUUGAUACAGCACAAAAGAAGGAACGUACCUUCUUCUUAUGAACGCCCUCAAUCUGCAAUUUGAGCCUUGCAGUGGUCCACUCCUCCAACACAUCUUCCAUGUCGUAAGAUGCGUCUUUGAGCUGAUCCAGCCAAAAAGUAACAUCUUUCUCGUGCUGCAUUUGCCUUUUCUCUGCAUCUUCCAGCACAAGUUGAAUGGCUUGUAGAUUGCUGGUGAGCUUUUUCACUUCUUCGUCGACACCAGUAACAAGCCUCACCUGUUGUUUCAGUUCAUCAGUUGCAACUGAGCUCAGCUGCUCCAGGAGAGAGGAAACGAUCGCAUCAACCAUUCUGACAAAGAAGAUGAGAAUUCUGAAGAGUUAUUAGAUGUGCUUUUGUUGCGAAGAUAUGAAAGAAAGGAGUUAUUGCAUUCUUUUAUACUGCAUAGAAAAGGUUUAUGCUUAUCCCCACCCCACACGUCAAUGAUUGUAGAAUGUUUAAUUUCCCUGAUUCUACUCCACUAGUUGUGAUGCGUAAUUAUAAAUAUUCUCAAGUUAUGUAUGAAAAUCCCACAAAUUUGGAUCUAGUAAUGAUUUUUAUGUAUUUUUUCAUAAUCUUCUAAAAUACUAUAUCUGCAUGUUAUUUCGUGCAGAAAUAUGGCAUUGGGUGAAAAAAGUUAUGCUUAUCCCCACCCACACGUUAGUAAUUGUAGUAGCAUCUGUAAUUUCCAUGAUUCUACUCCACGGACGAACACAUUUUUUGUACUAACAUCUUUAAAUUCCCACACGUUAGGAAUUUGGCACAUAAUCUCAAACUCGUCGCAUCUUUAACGUAUGAGGUUGAUGAAUAAAUUCUUUUCUCAUAUCAAUUUAAAACUCCGAGAUUAUGUGCCAAAUUCCUAACGUGUGGGAAUUUUACCUCCUAAGUAAUCCGGCCCACUGCCAAGUGCCAACUUUUUCUCUGUCGAGUUAAUGAUGUUGUUUUGUUUUCCUUGUUUUAAUUAAUGUUGCGGAGAGAAACAGAUCGAUGCAAAUGGCUAGCCAGGUUUUGCAGAAACCGUGAAUGGUCUUGCAUGCAUGUGACAUAAAGCUUUAUAUAUAGCUUAUUCCUCCAUCAACAUUUCAAUGGUUCCAUCUCACGUGCACUUGGCUAUGAAUAAGGUCCAUGCAUGGAUCGAUCGAUUUAGGAGUUUGGACCAUCUCAUGCUGCAGAGUUAUGUGUCAUGUAUGUGUGUUGACACUUGCCAGUUCAUUUUUGUUAUAAAGAUUAUUGAUACUCGUAAAUGUACUACUUACAAAUCAUAAAUUUUGAGUUUGACACUUUAGUUUCAUUUUGUAAUCCCUACGCUCUUUAAAUAUUUGUAAUAAUAUAUUUCAAACUUUAACUCAGACGUAAUGAAUGAAGGGGGAUCCUCUUCUUAUAUAAAUUUUUAUUUUUUAACGUUCAAGUUACAUUUGAUUACGUGUACUUAUUAUCUAGUUUUGACUAUCUAAUGACAUUUGAUUACGUGUACUUAUUAUAUGAUUUUUUUUUAAAUGAUGGGUCUGGUGAGAUUUUUUACAUCUUGGAUUAGUAGGUCAAGAACGGGCAGGGCAGGGCCUUCUCUGAAGUCAAUCUUGUGAGCAACACCAGCUUUUUGGAUAAUUGGCAGCCCCAAUUCAUAAUUUUCUCAGUUGAUGUCCAUGGCCAAAAUCUGCAACCGAAGCUUAUUCUACUCUUAUUAAUCGAGAGAUAAUUUUAUCUCUAACUAAUUUAAUUGGGAGGAAAAUUGAGAGAGAUAUCCACUCUGUCCUUAUUAAUUGAGAGAUAAUUUUACCCUUACCCAAUUUAAUUGGAAAGGAAAUCGAAUUCCAACAAUAACUAGGACUUGAAUCCAUGCACUUAAGCUAACUUUAAGUUUUAGGAUGCAUGGUUAUAAUGUUCUUUAUUUAAAUCCUAACAAAUGGUGGGACUUGAACUUGUGCCUACAAACAUUGAGUGCUUAGGGGCUGCAAAAUUUCAUAACUUAAUUUUAGUUGAUGUGGUAUGUGCCCUAUCACAUAAAUAUGUAGAUAAUAAUAAUUAAUACAUUAACAAAAUGAAAAAUAUUAGUUUACAAAAUACAAAUCCAAAUUUUUUGUGUGACAAGGGACUUAAAAGGGAGAGACUAAACAAAUGUGGUGAAAACGACAUGUAUUACUAAAACUAAAAAUACGAAGUCUAGGCAAUUGAAAACAUCGGGUUUUUUAUUUAAAUAUCCCCAAUUUGUCCUUAAAUACCAAAUUUAUACCCUAUUAUAUACAUAUACCUCACGAAGAUAGGGAAAAUAAAAAAUAACCUUAAAAAAAUCAAGAAUCCACACAUUUCUUCCUCUCAGUGCAGGAAGAUGUCGAGUACGAAGUCGGGUAAGUCGAGAAUUUAGUCGAGCAAGAAUUGGAGAUAAGUAAGUUGAGUAUAUGGUCCAGUAGGAAGUUGAGUAAGCAUAUUAAAUGAGUCCAGUAUUAAGUGGUAGAGUAUUAAGUAAAAGUCAAGUAAAUUUUUUAAACAAGUCAAAUAAAAUUUAUGUAAUUUUUAAAGAGGUUGAGUAUUAAGUCGGGUUAGUACAUUGGGUCGAGUGUUAAUAUUUUUAAAGAAGUGAAGUCUGGUAAGUUGAGCAUUCAGUCGAGUAAGAAGUUAAGGCAAUUGAAUAAGUCGAGUCUCUAGUCGAGUACGAAGUCGGGUAUAAAGUCUGGUAAGUUGAGCAUUCAGUCGAGUAAGAAGUGAAGGCAAUUGAAUAAGUCGAGUGUCUAGUCGAGUACGAAGUUGGGUAUGAAAUCUGGUAAGUUGAGCAUUCAGUCGAGUGAGAAGUGAAGGCAAUUGAAUAAGUCAAGUAUCUAGUCGAGUACGAAGUCGGGUAUGAAGUAUGGUAAGUUGAGCAUUCAGUUGAGUAAGAAGUGAAGGCAAUUGAAUAAGUCGAGUACGAAGUCGGGUAUGAAAUAUGGUAAGUUGAGCAUUCAGUCGAGUGAGAAGUUAAGGCAAUUGAAUAAGUCGAGUAUCUAGUUGAGUACGAAGUCGGGUAUGAAGUUUGGUAAGUUAAGCAUUUAAUCGAGUAAGAAGUGAAGGUAAUUGAAUAAGUCGAGUAUCUAGUUGAUUACGAAGUCGGAUCUGAAGUCUAGUAAGUUGAACAUUCAGUUGAGUAAGAAGUGAAAACAAUUGAAUAAGUCGAAUAUCUAGUCGAGUAAAAAGUCGAGUAAGUAGAUUGAAUGAGUAGGGUAUUAAUUUUUUGUUGGCAUUUUAUUGAGGCUAUUUUUGUACUUUCUUUGGUUUUUUAAGUAUGUAUAUGCAAAGUACAGAUUUUAAUAGAUGGAUGUAUAUUUUGGGUAUUACGAGAGAAACGGGGUAUAUCCCACGCAAUUCCUUCGAAAACAUCUCUGUCAAUUGCAAUGAACAGAUCACAACCCUUCAUAAUUAAACAAAAUCAAACUUGAAAAAAAAAAUCACACACACACACACAAAACAAUCACAAAAACUAUUUGUUCUGAUCAUCCCUGCUUUUUUUUAGCGUAGCUCUUGGAAUGAAAAUUAACAAAAAGUGUCAAAAGAGAAGCAUUAAACACAGCAUUGAAGCACCAGCCCAAAAUCCCAGAGCAACCAAAUCCCGUAAAAUGAUAAUACAGCAUCAAAACCGAAACAACAAAACUAAACACAAACUGAACAAUCUAACAAUCAGUGACCAAUCUCUUCCACUUUGGCCGCAACCCCAUCACACACAAUAGAUAGUACCCGUACAUGAUCACAUGCACACUUGCAUUAGUCACAAGUGCAAUAGGAAACAAAGACUGCUUCGUCUGUAACCAAAGGUAGCACAUUACGACGACGGUUGCAUGGUGGUAGACGUGGAGGAACGUGAGCCAUUGGAUGGAUUUUGACAAAAUGAUCAAAAGGGUGUCUAAGAAUUCGAGUAUUUUGGAGAGGUAGAAGAGGUAAGCGUAGAAGAAGAGGGGGCCAGACGGAGAAAUGGUGGGGGGGAAACAGAGGGUGUAAUGGAGGUGGGGCAAAUGGACGAUGAUGGAGAGAGUGCAGCCAACGGCCAUGAUGAGGGAGAGGAGGAGGAGGGUGAGGUUAUGGACGGCUGUGAUGGGCUUGAGGAUGUGGGGUCCAAUGAGAGGUGAUGAUGAUGGUGAUGUUGAUGUUGAUAUGUGGUAGAGGAUGAAUGUGAGGGAGAGGUAAGUGAGGAUGGAGAGAAUGAGGAAGUGUGGGGAAGAAGCUAGUGUUUGGUUCUGAGUCCAUGUGAAGCUGAGGAUUUGGGGGUGGUUUACAAGACAAUAUUGGAGUGUUGAGGUGAUUGAAUUUGAAGCCAUGGCUAGUUUUUGGGGGAAGAAAGAUUUUGGAAGAGAUGAUGUUGAGAUGAACGGGGGAGUUUAUAAAGUUUUGGGAUAAUGUGGAGGGUAUUUUGGACAUAUUGUUGUCUCAGCUUAAAUUUUGGGAAAAAGAUGAUCAAUAAGAAGCUCUUUUUUUCAUAUCAAUUUAAAACUCCGACGGUGUUUCCAAAAAUUGUUUUUCUUUUUCCGUUUUUUAAUUUUAAAUCAUAAAUUUAGUAAAAGAAGUUGAAUCAAGUGAUCACUUUUUUUUUAAUGUAAAACAAUUAAUUUCUUUUGUGAUUUAAGCAAAUAUUGAGUUGCAUACUUUAAAUAUAUUAAUAUUUGAUUCGAAAUUUCAUCUACCGAAACUACAAAAAUUAAUAUUUUCUAUUAAAUCAAAACCAAAAUUAAAGAUGACUCCUUGUCUGCCAACUGUCAUUAAACAAAGCCAUCACUCACGUGAAAAAAAAAAGUGAUAUAUUCAUUUUAACGUAAUUUCAUACCAACAUAUCAUUCUUUUUUUUCCAAUAAUGACCUCUUUAAUUAUAAAAUAUGGUAAAAGGGGAUGGGUUCGAGGUAUGGCGUCCGGGCCUUUGUGACAACGGUAUCUUUGGACGUGGGUGUCGUUAGAUUUUUGGCUAUUUUCUGGUCAAUCAAACUGGUGGAUCACAUGCAUUUUAAUGACCUCUUUAAUUAUAAAAUAUGGUAAAAGGGGAUGGGUUUAAGGAAUGGCGUCCAGGCCUUUGUGACAAAGUUGGAUGUGGGUGUCAUUAGACUUUUGGCUAUUCUGCUCAAUCAAACUCGUGGAUUACAUGCACUCAACGCGGACAUUAUGGAAAUGGGAGAAAAUUAUGUUAGUAAUAGCAUCUUCAAAAGUUUCUAUACAUUUUACUCUUUAAAUAUUUAUUUACUUAUUUAUAUGAUAAAUAGAAAGGUAAAAAAAUAUAUUAUUCUCCAAAAAACUCUUCAAAUAAAAAUAAGUUAAUAUUAUUUUAAUCAAAUAAUUAUUUUUUAAAGGAAAAGUUAACAGCAAUUAAAGCACUUCUCUUUCUCUCUCUAAUAAAAAGUAAUAAAAUAUUAAUUGAAGUGUUUUUUAGAACCUUAAAUGUUGAUGUGACUCUUCAAAUAAGUAAUAAAAUCUUAAUUGAAGAGCCUUUUGGUGAUGGUUUAAAACCCACUGUUUCGUUCUAAACUAAGUGAAUUUAUCUCGUGAGCUAAGUAGUUUAGGAGAUAACUCAAAUAAUUAACUUUUUAUUAGUUUAAUAAUAAGAAUUUUCGAUUAUAUUUUAAAAGUAUAAUUCAUUACAAAAAAUUACUUAAUAAAAAUAACUGUUAUUUAACAUAUUACAUUUUUUCAAUAAUAAAAUAAUUCAAAUUUUUAAUUAUUAUAACAAAAAAAUUUGUAAUAUAAUCCAUUCAUAUACCACAUCACGUAAAAUGUAACCUAGUACUACAUGUAAUCUUGUUACUACUAUUCCUAUAAUAUUCUACCACAUCAUAUACUAUCAAAUUCCAUCCGGCAUGCCAAAUGUGCAAAGUUUGAGUAAGACUUGUUAAAGUUGAGUAACAUCUUAUAUGGCCAAGCGCAUUGAGUAUGGAUUUGCAUGAUCGAGUGAGUACAACUAAAGUCGGGUAGAGUCUGGAAAAUCCCUAUAAUGUUGAGGUUGGAGAACUAUACUUUUUAAGGUACAUAAUUAAACAAUUUUGGUAAAUAUUUACUAUUAUAACUUAAAAAUUAAUUUGAUUUGAUCUCAUAUAUUAUUAUAAUAAAAAAACUUAUAAUAUCUUUAUUAAUUUUAUUAAAAAUUAUUAUUUAGAAGUCAUAUAUUUAUUACACAUUGUCAAAUUUCAGCUUUUUGUUUUUAACAACAGCUAGUAAUAUCAAACAAGACCUAAGUUGAGUAUGAUCAAUUAAUUAAAAUUAUGAUUUUUUUUUGUAUAAAAUAAUCAUUAGAUAAUUAGUCUGUAAAGAAUAUCGGCUACUUCAAAUGGAAACUUGCGAUAAAAAAUGCAUCACAAAAGUAACAAUGACACACUAUAUAAGAAAUCUGAAAUAGAAUUUGCAAAAUUGAACUGAGUUACGGAGAGUAAAUAAGACUCCAAAGGAACAUGGCAAUUAUUAUUAUCUAGGAAACAAUUCAUAGCUAAAACAAAAUUAACUAUACUUGCCAGGAAAUAUGGCGAAUUCCACCACCUCCUACAAGUUCUUAGGUGUCUUAGAGUUUGAUGACGACUUCCAUGCUGUGUCUCUUCGACAGGCAGCAAAAUUGGGCAAUUGACUACAUUAACUCCAAGAAAUUUAUGCAGUCACCUUCCUCCGGACUAUCCUCUUUCUUUGAGCUUUGGUUGCCCCUAUUUCCCCUUCAAUAGAGUCAUCACUGUUUUGUUUGAAGCCAAGGAGCCCAAGAUCAGAAAAAUGGCAUUCUUUGGUAUCAAUCCCUCGAUCCCCAAGUCACGUCACUAACUUUCUGUUGAUCGCGUAGCUAGUUCAUGUAUGCCACAGCAGCGGAAGGUAGCCUGAAGAAGAAAAAACCUCUCUCUCUUUCUUGCUCAGUAACCACCUGGGCACUUUUGUGCUGAGCCAUGACAUCCUGAGAUGGCCUGUUGUGUAAGCCUUCUUCAAAAGGUCAUCUGUCGAUCUUUCUCCUAAUUAGACAUCCAAAACCCAGCAUGGAAUCCAUUUGAGAAGGUGGACAAUAGACAAACUCCAACGCAUACAGACAGUAAAGAAGAAUUUAGACCGCAAUCACUGUGGCUGAAUAAAUGGGCCUAUUAAGCCUAUUAAAAGUUGGAACCAUAUUCACCACUCGCAGUUCCUUAGAGAACUUUAUCAGAAUUCUGAAAAUUUAAAACUAUUCUUACAUAUUUAACUGUAAAACAAGAGAAAUUGUACUUCCGUAGCAAAGUCUCACUAUUGGUAAGUAUCUGGACUUGGAAAGGAUGCUAGUUGAUUAAGUAAAGGAAAAUUGAAAUCAGACUUUGAGGUGAUAGAUCUAUAUACACUUUAAUCGGAACCACAUUAACAUCAUAUGAGCCAAACAAACAAAUUCCCCAGUCAAAGUUCAACAAACAAAACAUUAAAACAAGAGUAAUUUGGUGUAUCAAUGUAUAUAUAGAGAUGUCGAUCAUUGACAAAUACGUAAAAGAGGGAGGGAGAGACCUCAAAGCCGUGCUUAACAACAUUGCUACUCCAAUAACUUCAAAAUGGUUGGCGACGUCUCUAUCAAAGCCACACAAUAGCUGAUAUCUCAUGUUUGCAUGUAGUCCAAUGAAAGCACCAUAACCAAGAACAUUAGUACUCACAGAUGGGUUUGUCACAGAUAACCUGUCAGGCAAUAAAAAUUGCCCAAAUUAAACAAAUGUUAGACCGGCUUAGACAGUAAACGGAACAAUAUUCUAAUUUUACUUUAUUUAUAACGAAUAAGUGAACAAAGGAAUGAAAAGGAAGUUUGGCAACAGUCUUUUUACCAGCCAGAUAGUUUGACAAAGAAUCUUGCACUGCUCCUGCAGCUAAUCCCACCAUACACAACUCUGCAGUCUUGUUUGGGAGUCAAAAUUCUCAAAAUGGGUAACUCUGUUCAAAUAUACUGUUUGGGAACUUUUGUAAUGUAUUUUGCAAGUCAAACAGGAAGGUAUUUCCAUAAGAAGGUUCACUUCACAUGCUCAACAAUUCAAAUUUGCGGAUGAUAUUUCUCAAAAUGGAGGGCUCUAUUUGGCUUGCCAACAAUCUUCCUCACCAUUAUCAUCCUUGCUAUACCGGUUAAACUGAACAGUCUUCAUUCUGACAUUUGCCCUAUUAACCUGAGUACACAAGAAUCCGAAACAACUGUUAGAAAUUAUAAUCUUUAUAUAUAGCCAAAAUGUUGAAUAAGAUGAUGUACUUGAUAAUAAAUACCUGAGUUAAUAAAUAAUUAAGGGGCCGGUAACAAUGUCAGCAUCUUAUCAAGUGGGGAAAGCCUACGCAACGAAGAUGCUGCCUGCUUUCAAGAAAUAAUAACUUUCCAAUUCCAUAAGGUAGGUUAAUGCCCUUUUAAAAAUAUCUCCACCAGCCUAACAAUUAUUCAUUGAAAUGUGUGAGUGUGAAUUCGAACGAAUUAAUCAAAUAUGAUGACACGAGAAAGAAAAUUAAAAUAACCACAAGAAGUAGAAAUAUACUUUUGUUAUAUUUAGUGCAUCUUCUGUGUGUGCUCAAACGCAAUGCCUCAAGGCGCAAGAUAAUUUUAUGACCAUCAAUCUUUUGCAGCCAUAUGCAGACUUGAAACAUUGGCGGUGGUUCUAAGGAACUUGAAAAUUAGAAAAGUUUCAAAAUGAGUGACUAAAUAUGAUAAUCGAAAUUAAUUAAAUAUACACGCCUUGUAAAUAUGAAACUAAAUUACUCAAAUGUAUGUGCCUCUUCGCAGCAAUUGCUCGUGGUGGAAACUUUACUGCAAAGACUUCCUCAAACCCUUGAAGAUCACACUCUUCCUGGCAACAAAGAAACAGAGUCGAUAUACGAAGAUGAUUUUACUAACAAGUGAGAGCUUGCAAAUAUUGGAAGGAUAACGAUUGCUCAUAACCCAAAUCCCCAAUACCCUCUAAUAUCUCACUCGAGUGAGUUCAAGCCCCCAAAAUUCACUACAGUGAAACUCUCGAAACAAAAUUCUCUUCAAAUAUUCUCAACUCAAAUUUGAUAAUGAUAUCUCUUGAAGGAAGGCAAAAAAUCUAACACUGAUCAAAUUGGCUUGUGAACAAUUAAUGUUCCUGGCCAUCAUUCAUACUAGGUGUGGCGAACAAUUAAGCUGCUUAGUAUCCUGAACCUGAUAACUUACACAAACAAAAACAACUUGCCUAAAGUUUAAUAUUUAGAGGCAGAACGGUAAAGAAGAAGAUAUAUAUUGAUACUAAAAUUUGACUUGCGUUACCCUGAUGUCAAGAAUAGCGGGAUCUCAUGUGGGCAAAAUCUUCGCAAUACGAGAUGCUUGCAAAAUUGAAGCAGCAUCUUAUCACCUGUAAUUUAAUUAAGAUAAUAACUUUCCCCGACUAUUUCAAUGCAUUAUUGGCAACUAAAUUCAGAGGGCGCUAAUUAAAUACCCUUUUAACAAUAUCUUCUUAUUCUUCUCUAAUCUAGCAGUUAUUUGGAAAAUCUAAAUGACAGUCAUGCAUCAAUGGCGUCAAAAUUUGGCUACAAAGCAGCCUACAAAAGGCUUCACCCUCUGAAUGAGAGCAUGAAUUCGAAUAAUAUGAUGAAUGAAGAAACAAAGGCAUAAUACCACAAGAAGUCAAACUUUUCCCCAGAGCUCUGUUUCUGUUUGUGCUAAAGCAAAUGGAAACCAGUGGAAAUGAAUUUCUAUGAACUAGACAUAUCAGCCAAAACAGGUACUCUGUGCAAGCAAAGUAAAAAAGAGUUACAAACAAAUUUAAGAUUGAUAUGAUAAUUAAAAUUUCAGUCACCAUAUAAUUAAUAGAAAACUUUGUACACAAUGAUUUAUUGCAUAUUAAGAUUGUAUACCUAAAUUUUAAUUGCUAUGCAAAAUAUGAUAUUAGCAUUAGGAGACCGCACCAAAACGUACCGUAUUGAAUGUGCCUUUUCACAACCAUUGUACAAGCUUUGAAGCUUUGGCACAAAUGCUUUUUCAAACCCAUGAACAUGAUGCACCCGAGAGAUGCAAGAUAUGAAAUUGUUACAACAGCAGGCAUUGAAACAUUUGUUAA
rnacentral:lncRNA from 1 species